GGACCCUUUUGGGCCCCUUAUUCCUAAACUGUUGGGACCAAAACUCCCAAAAUCAAACCCAACCUUCCUUUUAUGGUCAUAAACCUUGUGUUUAAAUUUCAUAGAUUUCUAUUUACUUAUACUUAAGUUAUGGUGCGAAAACCAAGAAUAAUGCUUAUUUGGGCCCCUUUUUGGCCCCUAAUUUCUAAACUAUUGGGACCUCAACUCCCAAAAUCAAUCCCAACCUUCCUUUUGUGGUCAUAAACCUUGUGUUUAAAUUUCACUGAUUUCUAUUUACUUAUACUAAAGUUAUUGUGCGAAAACCAAGAAUAAUGCUUAUUUGGGCCCUUUUUUGCCCCUAAUUCCUAAAACUGUUGGAAACCAAAACUCCCAAAAUCAAUCCCAACCUUCCUUUUGUGGUCAUAAACCUUGUGUCAAAAUUUCAUAGAUUUCUAUUCACUUAAACUAAAGUUAUAGUGCGAAAACCAAGAAAAUGCUUAUUUGGGCCCUUUUUGGCCCCUAAUUCCUAAAAUGUUGGGACCAAAACUCCUAAAAUCAAUCCCAACCUUCCUUUUGUGGUCAUAAACCUUGUGUCAAAAUUUCAUCUAUUUCUAUUCACUUUUACUAAAGUUAGAGUGCGAAAACUAAAAGUAUUCGGACGACAACGACACAAGACGAC
rnacentral:lncRNA from 1 species